CAGAAAGAAACAGGAAGCUGCGAAGUACACGGGCCUCGCGACUCGCGGGACGGGGCCGAAGCCCUAGCCUUCGCCUCGCCCCUUUCCUCCCCUUCCCCGCGCCUCCGCCUCCGCCUCCACCCCGCGCGCCUCCGCCACCGCCCCGGCGCCAUGUACCCGAGCCCGUACGCCAGCACCGGCACCGCCGCCGGCGCCGGAGGGAAGAUCCGGCGGCGCCCGCCGACCCGCGCCGCCUCCACGCCCUACGAGCGGCCCCCCGCGGCCGCCGCCGCGCACCGCCUCGCGGCCGCUGCCGCAGCGGCGUCCGCAUCCUCGGGGCCGGGAGGGGAGGGCGGCGGGGGCGGGAGCGGGAGCGGGAGCGGCGGGUGGGUGUCCCGGCUCGUGGACCCGGCCUCCCGCCUCAUCGCGGGCGGCGCCGCGCGGCUCUUCGGCUCGGUGUUCCGCAAGCGCCUCGCCCCGCCGCCAGCCCCGUCGCCGCAAUUUUCGUCGCCUCACGGAAAAAAUAAUGAUCCAACACAGCACUUCCCUGAUUCAACUAAUGUUGAUUCGCCUCCACUCCCAGAGGGUGGAAUUGAUAAAGGGAAGAACAUAGCUGCCACAUCAGAUGACAAAGCAUUGUCUGAAGUUGAGCACUUGUUAAUGCGAAAAACAUUCACUAGGGUUGAGUUCGAUCGUCUUACAGACUUUUUGCGCGCAAGAACCAUCGAGCCCGAUCCACCUACAUCUAUUGUUUCCCGCGAGGAAAAGAAUGAAGGUAUCAGAAUUGACGGAAUAGGAGGCUCCACAUCACACCAGAUGGCUGCUGAAUCUCCGACUGUUAAAGUACAUAGUCAUGGUGCUAGGUCUCCUGCAGAACUCGCGAAACAAUAUAUGAGCUCCCGUUAUUCGAGGGAACCUCCAUCAAGUAGUCUGAGAAGCCGAUUGUUUCUUGAGAACAAAGGUGAAGCAAGUAACAAUGCCCACGAUAGGAGACCUGGACCACCAAUUGUUCAGGCACCGAUCGAAUUUGGGAAUGAAAACCCUGGGCUCCCUGUAAAUGGCUACGUGACUUCGGGAUUACGGGGGCGGUCAGCGAUAUAUAGAAUGUCCCGCUCUCCUUAUUUUAAGAGUUCGAUCUCUAGCGAUGUGAACACAUUUUCAUUGUCCCAACGAGCACAAAGUUCGCAUAUCGGUGGCAGGCAGGUCUUAAAAAGAAGAGGGGGUGACUUAGAGAAUGAAAUUGGAUCUGUAGGUCCCAUUCGUAGAAUUCGGCAGAAGUCAAAUAUGAUGUCUCCUUUUAGAGAUGCUCGUGCAAUUUCUCAAGGAAACCUUCUUACCAGCUGUACAAGUGGUUCUGAUUUCACUGAAGACAGCACAUCCAUCCAGGAAUCUCCGAGCUCAAAAAAGCUAUUGCUUGGAACAACAUCUGCGGGACCCCUAGAAUCCCAUAAGAAUGGAGAUAGUAAACGUAGUGAUAGCACUCCAUCCAUACCAGCUCAAUCAAACAAAAUGGCAGAGAAGAUAUUUGAGCAGCUUAAUAUAAUAGCUCCAUCUCCUAAAGAGCAGCAGUCUGGACAGCAAUCUGUAACUGGUAAUACUAGUAAUUCGAUGUCGAAGAAACCUGUUUUGCAAGAUAUUGGGCCAAGCAGUAUGUAUGACCCAUCUAGUUCCCUGAAAUUUCAAGAUUUGGAUGGUGCAAAUGGACCCCUUGACCCAGACUUGAAUGGUUCCCUGUUGAAGAAAGGCAAGCUAAAUAUGAUAGAAGGUGGAUCAUCAAAAGUUGCUUCGUCUGAUAAACCUACCUUUUUGGGAAACUCAGUUUCUGCUUCUACAUCACGGAAACCGGGCUUUAAAAUGGCUGUGAUAGAGGACUUACCAGAGUUGGAUGAUGAUCUGGAGGUCCCCAUUCCAUCCAAGAGUCUAUCAAGUAAGAUAGAGGUUAAAACAACUGAGCAGAAAUCUGACUCAACUAGAAAAGAGCAGAAAGUUGAACAAAAGAUAUUAGAGCAAAAGGUUGAAUCGAACUUAAUGAAGAAGAACAUGGUUGAUUCUCCGGUUAGUGAACAGCCUGUAGCAUCAUUAUCUAAAACUGUCUCUUCAUCUGGUGGUUUGCUUUCAUCAAAUGAUCCUGGAAAAGCAGUUCCUCGUGCUUCUGUGGAUAACAACGCUGGUUUUGCAUUCUCAAGUGCGCCUCCUGGUACCCGCCCUGCAACUAGUGUGUCAGCAACGCCGCUUGCUUCAGUUAAUGACGAUAAACAGACUUGUGCUUCAAAUACUAGUGUUGGCCUCAAGCAGUCUAUUGCACCAGAUUUGGAAACACUAAAUGUUAAAAACAAAUCAACAUUUGGGCAGAGUGUCACCAAGCUCACAACAUUGGACAGCACUAGUUCUGAGAGAGGUGAUAAAACAGAAAAAGCAGAAGAUGUCAUUAAAUCAUCGGACAAGGUGGUGCCAUCAACUGCAUCAACAACACUGAAUGCCCCUCUCCAUUUUGCUUCUGCUGCAUCUACUUCUGCGAGCCUGAGCAAUGGCUUCUCAAACUCUUCAUCACCAAAGCUCCCAACUGUCCCACCUACUGAUAAACCUGCUGUCAGCUCAGCUGCUUCCACCAUGUUUGCUGCGUACAGUAGCAGUCCAGCUAUUUCAUCAUCAUCUCCUGCAUUUACAGCAUUUAAUUUUUCUUCCAGUACUUCGGUUGGCUUUUCAAUGGUACCAUCAGCUAAAUCAGAUGGCACAACUGCCGAGGUAAAGCCAGCUAGCACCUUAUCAUUUGGGAUAGGAGGUGCUGCAGAUGAAGCGAAAUCUACAGCCCCAGAUUCAGCCAGCAAGCCAUCAUCAAAACCUAUUUCAAGUUCUCCCAUCACAUCUGGACUUAAUUUCUCUCAAGUUGCAGCUUCAAGUGAUGCUUCAGGCGCUGCAACGACUGCGCUGUCUAAUACUUCCACUGCUGCUGGUGUUCAGGCUUCUUCAACCGCAUCAUUUACAUUUCCAAGCUCUGGAAACAGCCUUUUUGGGUUCAGUUCGCCAGUCCAAUCUACUGGCCUCAGCGCAUCAUUGGUUACUAGCAGUACCUCUCAACCAUCUGCUGCUAGCACACUCUUUGGUGGUAAGCCGGCGCAGUCAGAGGACACAAUGCAACAACCAUCCCAGAGUCCAAAACCACAAUUUGGCUCAUUCCCAUCCGUGACUCCUGGUGUUGUAUCUUCGUCAUCUGGAUCUGGGACCUUCUCUUUUGGAAUUGCAGCUUCUUCGACUGGUUCUGGGACCAUGUCUUUUGGUGUUGGAGCUUCAUCAACACCUGGAACUUCAUCAGCUUUCGGGGCAGCAGCGCCCUCAUCAGGACCUGGUAUUUUCUCUUUCGGGGCAGGAUCUUCCUCAUCAGGUUCUGGGAUUGUUCCCUUUGGAGUUGGAGCUGCCUCAUCUGGACCUGGGACCUUGUCUUUUGGAUCAGGAUCUGCCUCAUCUGGACCUGGGACCGUGUCUUUUGGAGCAGGAGCCUCCUCAUCUGGACCUGGGACUGUGUCUUUUGGAGCAGGAGCUUCCUCAUCUGGACCUGGGACCGUCUCGUUUGGGACAGGAGCCUCCUCAUCUGGACCUGGGACCAUGUCUUUUGGAGCAGGAGCUUCCUCGUCUGGACCUGCGACCACCUCAUUUGGAGUGACAACAUCCACAUCGGGGGGAUUUGGCAAUUCACCAUUUGGUGCUGGAGCUACAUUUGCGAACCCAUUCAGCUCUAGCUCAGGUACUGGAUUUACAUUUUCUUCAGCUAGCUCUUCUGCUGGUGCAUCAACAGUGGCCAGUACAAGUGUAUUUGCCAGCACCUCCGCAGCUUCAUCAGCCUCCAGUUUCAGCAACCCUUUCAGCUCAAGUUCAUCCCCUCCGAGCACAUUUAUGUUUGGGCAAUCAGCCUCUUCUGGCAGUGCUUUUGCAUUUGGAGCGCAGUCAGCUCCAACUUUCUCAUCUCAGCCUUCUGUUUUCUCAUUUACCUCAGCAAACACAAGCAUGAACUCCUCUACUCUGCAGCCUGCCUUUGGAAUGACAAAUACGAACACAGCCUUUGGCAUGGGCUCCCCCGGAAAUGAUCAGAUGAAUGAAGACAGCAUGGCAGAUGACACGAACCAGCCAGCACCAGCACCGAUGUUUGGUUCACCCUUUGGACAGCAGACUAGUACACCCCCUGCCCCGGCAUUUGGCGCUCCUGCAGUCCAGCCAGGUGGAGCUUUUCAGUUCGGGGGCCAACAACAAGCAACCCAGCAGAAUCCGUCCUUCCCAGCUGCCGGCAGUCUAGAGUUUCAGGGUGGGAAUUUCUCAUUGGGCAGCGGUGGUGGUGGCGGUGACAAGUCGAACAGAAGAAUGAUCAAGGUCAAAAGGGCACCUAAGAAGAGAUGAGCCCCUAUUGUUGGAAUCUGGACUACAUGAUGCCAGCCGCGGCCCAAGGUGCCGCAGGUGAAGCGCGUGUCCAGCGCCGGGCUGCUCGUCGGCUCCGUGCUCAAGCGCAAGACGGAGAACCUCAAGGACAAGUACAGCCUGGGGCGCCGGCUCGGGCAGGGCCAGUUUGGCACCACGUACCUCUGCGUGGAGCGGAGCACCGGGAAGGAGUUCGCGUGCAAGUCCAUCCUCAAGCGGAAGCUCGUCACCGACGACGACGUCGAGGACGUGCGCCGGGAGAUCCAGAUAAUGUACCACCUGGCCGGGCACCCGAACGUGAUCUCCAUCCGCGGCGCCUACGAGGACGCCGUGGCCGUGCACCUCGUCAUGGAGCUUUGCGCCGGCGGCGAGCUCUUCGACCGGAUCGUGCAGAGGGGUCACUACACCGAGCGGAAGGCCGCCGAGCUCGCCAGGGUCAUCGUCGGCGUCGUCGAGGUGUGCCACUCCAUGGGCGUCAUGCAUCGGGAUCUCAAGCCAGAGAACUUCCUCUUCGUUGACCAGAAGGAGGAGGCCGCUCUCAAGACAAUUGACUUUGGUCUCUCCAUUUUCUUUCGGCCUGGUCAAAUAUUUACUGAUGUUGUCGGUAGCCCUUACUACGUCGCACCAGAGGUCCUCAAGAAGAAAUAUGGUCCUGAGGCAGAUGUUUGGAGUGCUGGUGUAAUCAUUUACAUCUUGCUUUGUGGUGUGCCACCAUUCUGGGCAGAGAACGAGCAGGGUAUAUUUGAAGAGGUUUUACAUGGGAAACUUGAUUUCGAGUCAGAGCCGUGGCCUAGCAUCUCUGAAGGCGCCAAAGACCUUGUGAGACGAAUGCUUAUUAGGGACCCAAAGAAGAGACUGACUGCUCAUGAAGUUCUACGGCAUCCAUGGGUCCAGGUUGGUGGCCUGGCUCCUGAUAAGCCGUUGGAUUCUGCGGUUCUGUCCCGCAUGAAACAGUUCUCAGCUAUGAAUAAGCUGAAAAAGAUGGCUCUUAGGGUGAUUGCCGAGAACCUAUCCGAGGACGAGAUCGCCGGCCUGAAAGAAAUGUUCAAGAUGAUUGACACAGACAACAGUGGGACCAUCACCUUCGAAGAGCUGAAGGUUGGGUUGAAAAAGGUUGGCGCCAAUCUCCAGGAGUCCGAGAUCCAGGCGCUCAUGCAAGCAGCGGACGUGGAUAACAGCGGGUCGAUCGACUACGGCGAGUUCAUCGCGGCGACGCUGCACCUGAACAAGGUGGAGCGGGAGGACCACCUGUUCGCGGCGUUCCAGUACUUCGACAAGGACGGCAGCGGGUACAUCACCGCCGACGAGCUGCAACUGGCGUGCGAGGAGUUCGGGCUGGGCGACGUGAAGCUCGAGGACAUGAUCGGGGAGGUCGACCAGGACAACGACGGGCGCAUAGACUACAACGAGUUCGUGGCCAUGAUGCAGAAGCCCACGCUGGGGCUCCCCAAGAAGGCCGGCGGCGGCGGCCUGCAGAACAGCUUCAGCAUCGGCUUCAGGGAGGCAUUGAGGAUACAAUAAAUAUAAUAUAGCAUCGAGGAGUGGAUGCCAUAGCCAGAGAGAGUUCUGCUACUGUUUGUAGAUUGGAACGUCGACUGGGGUGAGUACAGUAGAGCUGCUGUAGAGAUGGGUGGUAACAACGGUGAGGCAGGCGAUUGGUUUCGUGGUAGGACUUGUAGGAGCGGGCAGCCAUGGGCCUGGGCCGGAGCCCACGGCCCACAUGUCACUGCUGAAUCCGGGUUCGAUUGUUUGAUUACGUGUGAAAGAAAGUACAGACGGUUUCGUGUU